GUUGUAAAUCUUGUAAUAUAUACUAUUAAACUAUACAACGAUAGAAAAGAAACUAUCCUGGAAAGUAUAAAGAGAAUAGGAGAUGGAGAGAGAGAGUAGUUGUAUUUCAGAAUAUUUCCGAAUAGAAUUCAUUUCAACUGAACCAGCUAUUUAUAGAGGUUGGUUGAUGAAUCUUCCUAACUAAGAUUUGCAAUACUUCUAGGUUAAGUAUUAUGAUUCUUCUCGAGUAAGUAUCGUAAGUCUUCCUCGAUAAGCUUUGCGAGUCUUCCUUAGUAAGUUUCGCCAAACUUACUUGAUAAGAUUUGCGAGUCUUCUUGACUAAGCUUUUGACAAUCACUUAAUAUAAUAUUUUAUAACACUCCCCCUUGAUUGUCAAAUGCGAGUUAUCAUAGAGAUUGACUGCCUCGUUAAAACCUUGCAAGGAAAAACCCAGUGGGAUAAAAACCUUGUCGAAGGAAAAAGAGUACAGUCUCCCCCUGAAUAAAAUCAUUCACAUUUCGACAUCUUGUUUUAGUAGACUCCUUAAUCUUCGCAUACCCCUAUUACUUCAUAACUUCUCAAAUGUUGAUGCCGAUAAUGACUUUGUAAAUAAAUCCGCCAAGUUAUCGCAUGAACGAACUUGUUGUAUAUCAAUAUCACCAUUUUCAUAAAAUUCUUGAGUAUAGAAGAAUCCUGGCAAUAUGUGCUUUGUUCGAUCUCCUUAGACAUAUCCUUCCACAAGUUGUCUUAACCAAACAUAUCUUUUGCUUGCUUCAUGAAUUUCCAGUAACUCUGUUCAACCAAACAUAUCUUUUGCUUGCUUCAUGAAUUUCCAGUAACUCUGUUUGUGAUCGCCCAAAAUGAAAAUGUGACAUGUAUACAACAUCUUUUAGUUGAGCCAAAAUUGAAUCUCGCCAACAGGUUCACAAUAACUGCAAUAUAAAGGCUCCAAAUUGCACGAAGAUAGGAAAAUUCAGGUCCGAUUGCUUCUUCAUCCUGUUUCCUAGGACGAAAGGGAUCCUUUCCAACUUCGAGUGAUCGAACAACCAUUAGUGUGGUUAGUGGAUGAGUUUUGUCCAUGUAGAACCGAUCAAGGACCUUUUUCAGUGUAGUUUGAUUGAUAAACAAAUAUGCCUGAAGAUAAGUGCUCCACCUGUAUACCUAAACAAAAUCUUGUCUUUCGAAGAUUUUUCAUUUCAAAACUCAUUUUUCAAAUGGUUAAUAGCACUAGUAAUAUCUUCAAAAGUACCAACAAUAUUCAAAUCAUCCACAUAUACAACAAUA
rnacentral:lncRNA from 1 species